AGAGAGAAGGAGCAAAAGCAAUGGCAUCAACAACUACAAGAACUAAAGACAGAAGGAGAGAGAACCAAAUGAGUUCCUGAUCCUGUCACAAAGAGACCAGAAACAGAGAAAGAGCAAGUGGAAGAGAGGAGUUUAUGAUGAAAGAGAGGGAUGAAAGAAAAUAAACAGGUGCAAAAUCAGAAGAAGGAGAGGAUCAAAGGAUUGAGACAGAUGAAGGGGUGGGAGAGGGAGAAAUAAACAUGCAGAAGGGGAACGCUCACACAAGGAGGCGACCUUUUGUACUCAGCAGAGGCACCAGGAGAGAAGAAAGGAUCAGGAAAAAGGAGGUGAGUGUGUGAAAUCUCCUUCAUGUAAUGAAAGUCAUUAGAGGAGAGCAGAAAAAUCAGGCUGGCAAUGAAGAGAAGCUGCUGCUUGGAGGAAAGCCAGAACCACGACUACACCCACAAAUUCACUCGGUAUGCAGGACAGACACACCAAGA